rnacentral:rRNA from 1 species
UACGUAGGGAGCAAGCGUUGUCCGGAAUCAUUGGGCGUAAAGCGCGCGUAGGUGGCUUCGUAAGUCCGUUGUGAAAGUCAAAGGCUCAACCUUUGAAAGCCGAUGGAUACUGUGAAGCUAGAGUACGGAAGAGGCGAGUGGAAUUCCUGGUGUAGCGGUGGAAUGCGCAGAUAUCAGGAGGAACACCAAUAGCGAAGGCAGCUGCGCUGGGACGGUACUGACGCU